rnacentral:rRNA from 1 species
AACGAACGCUGGCGGCAUGCCUAACACAUGCAAGUCGAACGAGACCUUCGGGUCUUGUGGCGCCUGGGUGUGUAAGGCGUGGGAUCAUGAACUUAGGUUUGGACUAACUCCACGACAGGGGUGCUAAUACCGGAUCAUGUCUUCGGACCAAAGAUUUAUUGACUUUGGUUGGGCCCGCGUUGGAUUCGCUAGUUGGUAGGGUUAAAGCCUACUAAGGCGACGAUUCAUAGCUGGUCUGAGAGGAUGCUCAACCACACUGGGACUGAGACGCGGCCCAGACUCCUACGGGAGGCAGCAGUGGGGGAUAUUGGACAAUCGGGGAAGGGCUGAACCAGCAAGGCCGCGUGAGUGAUGAAGGCCUUAGAGAAGUAAAGCUCAUUUACCCGGGAUGAUAAUGACAGUACCGGGAGAAUAAGCCCCGGCUAACUCCGUG